rnacentral:rRNA from 1 species
AGACGGAGGAUGCAAGUGUUAUCCGGAAUUAUUGGGCGUAAAGCGUCUGUAGGUUGCCUAGCAAGUCUAUUGUUAAAGGUUAAAGCUUAACUUUAAAACUGCAGUAGAAACUGCUAAGCUUGAGUACAGUCGAAGUAGAGGGAAUUUCCAGUGAAGCGGUGAAAUGCGUAGAUAUUGGAAGGAACACCAAUGGCGAAAGCACUCUACUAGGCUUUUACUGACACUCAGAGACGAAAGCUAGGGUAGCAAAUGGGAUUAGAUACCCCAGUAGUCCUAGCCGUAAACGAUGGAUACUAAACAUUGCGUGCAUCGAUCCGCGUGGUGUUAUAGCUAACGCGUUAAGUAUCCCGCCUGGGGAGUACGCUCGCAAGGGUUAAACUCAAAGGAAUUGACGGGGGCCCGCACAAGCGGUGGAGCAUGUGGUUUAAUUUGAUGCAACGCGAAGAACCUUACCAGGGUUUGACAUGGUGUUAAUUCUUUGAAAAAAGAAGUACCGUUCGCGGUAGACACACACAGGUGGUGCAUGGC